rnacentral:rRNA from 1 species
GACGAACGCUGGCGGCGUGCUUAACACAUGCAAGUCGAACGGAAAGGCCCUGCUUUUGUGGGGUGCUCGAGUGGCGAACGGGUGAGUAACACGUGAGUAACCUGCCCUUGACUUUGGGAUAACUUCAGGAAACUGGGGCUAAUACCGGAUAGGAGCUCCUGCUGCAUGGUGGGGGUUGGAAAGUUUCGGCGGUUGGGGAUGGACUCGCGGCUUAUCAGCUUGUUGGUGGGGUAGUGGCUUACCAAGGCUUUGACGGGUAGCCGGCCUGAGAGGGUGACCGGCCACAUUGGGACUGAGAUACGGCCCAGACUCCUACGGGAGGGAGGAGUGGGGAAUAUUGCACACUGGGCGGAAGCCUGAUGGAGCAGCGCCGCGUGCGGGAUGACGGCCUUCGGGUUGUAAACCGCUUUCGCGUGUGACGAAGCGUGAGUGACGGUAAUGGGUAAAGAAGCACCGGCUAACUACGUG